GGAAAAACAGAACAUCCUUCAUUCACAUGACUGCGAAGGCAGUCGUGGUACUGGUAUUUUUGUAGCCUCAAUUCUGAAAGGGGGAAGUGGGUUUUCAGUUUUGAGUAUUUUUAAAAAUUUGCCUAGUUCCCUGUGUUUGCAAGCUAUCUUCUGGAAAUGAGAGUGCUGAGUUGCGUGGCUCACAGAACCUGCUCCUUGAAACCGCUUGAAGGCAGGAUGCCUGAGAAAAAGAGGGAACCACUGGGCCCAACAACUUCAAAACCCUCAGGUGAAAAAGAUGAGCAGGCACAGACUAGAAGGGAGCUUUUCAACAUCACAAAAUUCCCCAAGUGAAGGAGUAGAAGCCAUUGUACGUCUUUCAAACAGAGCAAGAGAACAAUGGCUAACACUGAUUGGGCACCUGCACGUGCAUAGAAGUCUCACAGCUGUUCUCCACCAAAAAUUGCUAUCACCAUCCUGGCUUUACCGACAAGGAAACUAAGCUCUCUCUUGGGAUGGAUCACAGCUCCCUUCACCUUCAUCACACUCAGGCUCAGCCAAGUGUAAAGUCCAACAAACGUGCAUCCUAGGCCUCGGGCUCCCUGCUGCAGCCCUCCCAUGGGCUGUGUCUAACCAUCUGGAGCCUCGUUUCUUCAUCUGUAAAACGGGGUGAUAUUGACAGGUAUAACCAAGCUGUGCUUCAGAAAACAGUAUUUAAGACAAAUAAAUGAUACAAUUCUGCGAAUAAGAUCUAAAAUACUUAGCACCAUAUUCAGAACACAGUAUGUGUUCAAUGUUUCACAUUUAAAACAAAAGUCGAUUAUUUUAGUUACUAUAUUUUAAUUCUAUGUCACAUUUUAAUAACAUUUGAUGCUUUUUGAGGUGGCUCCAAUCAUCAUUUCCCGUGGUUUUCACAAUAACCUGGCACAACUGGCAGGGAAGUUCUACUUCCUCAUCUCACAAAUCAUUUCCAUUAAUAUUUAUUGUGUACCUACUAUGCAUAGGACCUGGGCUAGGAACUUGGAGACACAGCACAUGCAUGGACAUUCAGAAUGGCUGAGUGGCUGCCGCUUUCCACAACAAUGUGACGAACAUGUCUCUGGGAAAGUAGGAAAGUACACAGCCUCUUCUUAGUUUGUGGUUGUUUCCUUACUGACGGGAGAUAUAGGCUGCUCUUAGAGCUCUUUAUUUAAGGGGGAUCAUAACCUGAGAGAAGCAUAAGGGAUUGGGAGCCAGAGGGAAGAGAGAAGGGAGAUAAGAGAGAGGGAGAGAGGGAGAGAGGGAGAGAGGGAGGGGAGAAGGAACUCACAGCGAUCCUCCUGCCUCAGUCUCCCAGGUGCUGGGAUUAAGGCAUGCAUCAUCAUGCCUAGCUCAUCUCUUUUCUUUAUAAAACUUCCCAUUUGGGGGUAUUUUGUUAUGGUAAUGUAAAAUGGG
rnacentral:lncRNA from 1 species